rnacentral:rRNA from 1 species
GGUCAAAGAUUUAUCGGCAAGGGAUGGGCCGUGCGUCUGAUUAGUUAGUUGGUGGGGUAACGGGCGUCACCCAAGGCAAUGAUCAGUAGCCGACCUGAGAGGGUGGAUCGGCCACAUUGGAACUGAGACACGGUCCAAACUACCUACGGGAGGGCAGCAGUGGGGAAGUAUUGCACAAUGGGCGAAAGACCUGAUGCAGCAACGCCGCGUGAGCGAAGAAGGCGGAAUCGUCGUAAAGCUCUGUCCUUGGGGAAGAAGAACUGACGGUACCCUUGGAGGAAGCCCGGCUAAAUACGUGCC